rnacentral:rRNA from 1 species
GUGUCAGCCGCCGCGGUAAGACGUAGGAUGCGAGCGUUGUUCGGAUUUAUUGGGCGUAAAGCGUACGUAGGCGGCUUUUUAAGUCUGGUGUUAAAGCUAGGGGCUCAACCCCUGUGUUGCACUGGAAACUGGAAGGCUUGAGUGUGGUAGGGGAAGGUGGAAUUCCGAGUGUAGCGGUGAAAUGCGUAGAUAUUCGGAAGAACACCGGUGGCGAAAGCGACCUUCUGGGCCAUUACUGACGCUGAGGUACGAAAGCUUGGGGAGCGAACGGGAUUAGAAACCCUGGUAGUCC